AGAGAGAGGAGGGAAGGAAGAUGUUAAUUCCAAAUGGGAAAUACUAGGUUGAACAUAAUGAAGUCAAUAUUUGACCGAUUUUGACAUUAGAAAAAGACAAUUUCCCAUGGUUACGGUUCAUCCUGACAGCAUUCCAUGGCUGCAAAGCAGAUAUAUUUGGGACAUGGAUAUGGACCCAUCAGUUUUAACUGGCGCCGAGUCUAAACUAUUCGUGGCGUCGAUACUUUCAUGAUUGUAUAAAGGUUAUUCCACUGAGCACCUUUCAAAGCAGCCCCAGCUUUCCACGGGGCAUCUUGGUGCCUGUGACCUCGAGAGAGAAGAACAGAAAUCCUGGGCAGAGAAGAAGCUGUUUAAACAUCCUUUGAUUUCCUGUCGUCAUUUAGUAAAUGCAUUAAAUUAAGCUGCAGAUGUUUUGCUGUCAACACAACGCUGUAUUAUGGUGUGUUAUUUUCCUGAUAGAAACAUUUUCUAUACUGUAAAUAAACACAGUUUUGUUAAUUAGUUAAUGAAUUAUUUUUUUAUGCUCCAUUAGGCUUUAGAAAAAAUAGUGCAAGCUAUUGAAAGUUCUCAUUUUUAAUAAACAGACCUUGUAGUACAUAUGGAAUGACUAAUAUCUGCUGAAAUGGUAGCUCUUGCAGGAAUAAUUAUGGCUCCGGCUCUCUGUUUCAAGUUAUUAUGUGCUGCUGAGAGUAUUUUAGGCUGUGGAUUGAGGUUUAUUAGAGAUACCCAGGAUUUGGGAUGGAACAUCUGAACAGAACACCUGGAAGUGAGGGGGAGAUAGAGAUUUGCUCAUUUAUUUUAUAUCUUACUUUUUUUUUUUUUGCAACAAGGAGGUGUUUUAAACAAGUAGCAAAGAAAUAGAGAAUUCUGCACUUAAGGUCCAGGUCAACCUGAGACAUGCCGGAACGUUAGCAACGAAACAAACCCAGCCAAACACGGUGUUUUCUGUAAUUCUGAUUAGCAUCUACUUGGCCCCUUCCUUGAAGUAUCCUCCGUGGAAAUGUUCCAGAUAGAAAUCUGCAAGCUCCCGCCGUCAGCCGUGUACUGGAGCCGGCCCCACCAGCUCGAGAGCUGAUUGUCAAAAUGGGAUUCCAUGGAGCAGGAGAGUGGCUUGCUGGUUAAUAGCUUAAAGGUCUUGAGAUACACCUUCAUCUUCAAGGAGUGACUCCGCCUCUUCAGAGAUAUGUGAUGUGGAACAAGUUCCUUUCCGUGAAAAAUGAGAGAAGUUGUGGUACCUAUCUCAUGGGAUCGUAGUGAGGCUUAAAUGAGGGUUCUGCAUGGUUUCUUAGUCAUCAAACUCUGCCAUCAGGCUGUGUCUAAGUUCUCAGUGGGGCCUGGAUCCCUGGUACUUAGAUUCAGUGGAGUGAGCUCUUCAGAAUUCACUCAGAGUACACGCUGGGAUCGUCUUGACAAACUUCAGUUAUCACUGAUUUUAAGAAGUUCAGAGGGACCAGGAAAUCAAAAUUUCUGUUUUGGAACAAAAAAAAACACUGAAUAUCCAGUUUCCACUUUCUAUAGAACCCUGAGUAGAGGAGAAUGAAAGAGAAGCAGAGGCAGAGGUGGCUGACCCACAGCCUUGACACCUGGGGAGGCCAGACUGAUUGCCACGGUCUGGAUGAUGAAGGGACCUCUCAGGUUCUGGGACACCGAGAUUUCUGGAAUGCUGCUCCUAGUGGAAGCCCCUGUCUGAGUCUUGAGAUGAGCCUUCUCCACAUGAAGCUCUCGGCACCAGGCCCGGUUCUCCUCUCCUCUUUUGCAUGUGGACGUUUAAUUUUCUAGUGUCUUCUCUUCUUCUUAAGUGUCUCUCUUUAAGGCCAGCACCCUUAUCUGCUCUAAGAAGUCAUUCUACAUCAAUAUCUAAACUGAGGAGAACCUAGCCGCUCUGUGACUGCAGACUUUUUCUUUUCCUACCCUGACAACCUGCAGUCUUAUUUUAAAACUAUAGGAGAAUCUGACACUUGCUUCCUGGUUUUGAGCCUUUCUGUCCCUCUAACGGACUCUCUUUCCCCCAUGAAGGCAGGGCUGGUCUCGCUUUGCAUGUCGGGAAAGACUGAGCCCUUCUUUGUUCACUCCUUGGGGCAAACAGCAUCCUGCCCAUCCACCUGUGCGCUCCCUGUGGCCCCUGAGGUCCCAGAGUUUGAUGUCCCAUACACUUUGCCUUAGGGAACAAAAGACACACUUUACUGAAAAUGUCAUAUGUCAGCCCACGUCCUUCGAUUCUAUUAAAACCCCUUCUUUUUCCUCUUUCUUUUUUUCAAAAAAAAUUAUAGGGAAAAAGGAGAGAAAAGGAUUGGGGAGAGCAGUCCACAAAAACCCAGCAAACCCAAGCCCACUUUGGGGAGUUGAAACAUCUGCACUUUCUCAGCAGUUUGAAAGGAAACAAAAAAUUGCCAAGUGGUAUAAAAUUUGAAGAAAAAUUACCCAAAGGAGGAAUGGACGUUAACCACGCUUCAAUUCCCCACUAUGGGUUGACAUUUGAAGUACUUUCUUCUCUCCUCUUUCUUUCUGAUUCACAGUGUGUCUAAAGAGGUGAAUUGGGCACACAAAACCCAACCUCCUCUUGCCAGGGUGGGUAUGAAAUAUGAAGGCUAGACGAUUGUCUGGGCUCAGUGCAUUGGAAUAACAUUGGUUAAAUUAUGGAUAGUUUUUGAAUAGUGUCACUUUUUUUUUCUCUGCAGAUGGUUGUUCACACAAGGAGCCGGGUCUGCAUAAUUGUAUCACUAAUCAGCAGAAAGGCAAUUAGUUGUGUAAGUGUGCUAUAAUCAUUCUAACAGAAGAGAUGACGAAAAGACAAAAAAAGGAGGGGGGGACCAAAAUGUCUUUUCUGAAUCCAUCAACUGACAGCCAUAAUUAGAUAUAUAUAAUUGAAAAUUCCACAGUAGGGGGGCCAGCUUAUACAAAUGAAUUUUCUCUGCUGCCCUUACGCAUUUUUGUCUUUGGCUGAGCAUCCCCCUAGGAAAAGGCAGAAAACUCGUCAUUCCAAGAGUGCAUACUGUACUGGGUAUUCUUUCAGACCAAUGAUGUCAGAAUAACAAUUUUUUUUUUUGGCGUGGGGGGGCAUUGGCUGGGGGACUGGGAGGUUGGCAGGCUCUUAGCGUAGGCUGAUAUGAAUUGCGUUGCCAUGAAUGGUGUCAUCGUCACUGUUAUUUUGAACCUGUUCUUAGCUGCAUCCCUAAUGUCUCUCUUUGGGUUCAUAAUGAGAAAUCCCCGGCAGGGCUGACUUACCCAUUCAGCACAUGUCUAGGGUCCACCAUACUUUAAGGGGCCCACAGGAAUGUUUUAGUUUUCAUUUCUUUUUAAAUUAAAAGAAAAUAAAAUGAAUAUAAUAAUAGAGUGUAUGAAAAUGAAUCCAGCCAGAAUUAUAGUCAUCUUUAUACUGAUGCAGUUGUAAAAUACAAUUUUCAAUAUGGUUUUAUGGAAUAAGGGACCCACAAAGGCAGAAGUGCUGGGAGCCUACUAAAGGCAUAAGGUGGCACUGAUUCUGGGCUAGGUGGAGCCUCUGUGGAAGAGAGAAAAAGUGGGGCUUGAGGGAGCUUCCUUACAACAGAAUAUUCCAUCCUCAGUUUUUAUUGGAAAGAGGGGACUUUAUUUAACCAAAGCCUGAUUAUCAAAACCUAUAAUUACAUUUGGGUUAAAAAUUCUUAAGUGCCUAUGAGUUCGUGGAAACUGCAGAAAAGCCUAGCACCGAAUUAAUCAGACUCUAGGUUUCCCAUCAGACUAAAAAUCUUCUUUUUAAAUUGGAAGCGCAUUCCCCCAACCUCUCUCUCUCUCUCUCUUUGAAUCCACCAACUCUCCUAUAAUUUAAUUGGACAAAUCUUAACUGUGAUUUUUUUCCCCUCCCAAAGAGGGGGCACAUUGCGGCCAAAGCUUGUUAAUUAAGUUCUUUAAAUGCCCCCAGCUGUGCAAUAAGUUUUCAAAGCAGCACAACUGCAAAUUUAUUUAUUUAUUUUUUUUACCAUUUGGUGGCUAGUUUUCAAUCAUGCAUUAUUCCCCCCUCCUUGUUUUGAGGAUGGGAAAAACAGGAGUAAUCUCUGAGAGAAUUCCCAUGCAUUGUGGAAUCUUGGACAGACAGUCAAAUUGGAGGUGCCAGUAAGUGGUGUCUAAUUGGAGCCUGUUUAAGGAGGGAGUCACAAGGGACGAUUCUUCGGGCUCCCAGGCAGCUUGGGUACGCACAUGCCUGUGUACAAAUAACUCCCUGAACGGCACCCAGGCACACAAACCUCCCUCCAGGGCCUGGACGGGGGUUCUCCUGUUGGCAGGUGGGGCUUGAGGGAAAGUGGACUGAGCCAGGCCGGCAGAGGGGCCCUGUGGACAGCACGAUGGCCACCGAAUGUGUCUCUGGUCUCCCUUCCCCCGAAAUGCAGCAGCCCACGUGCCCUGUCUUUUCCAUCUCAACUAACCCAGCAGAGGUGGAUUUGAAAUGGAAGGAGAAAUGGGAAGUGAGUUGCAGUCACCUCAAUCCUCUACAAAGCACCCGCACUUUAAAGCGACAUCUUUUUUAGGAGCAAAUGAUAUCCAACUUAGAGUGAGGACCUUUGUUAAAAAAAACCUUAUUCGUAUUCCAGCCUCUCCAUAUUUCAAUUCUCUUUUCAGGCAUCUCAUUGCCCGUUUUGCAAUUAGGUGUGGCCACACGAUUUGCUCUGGUCAAUGGCAUGUACAUGGAAAUGAUACAUGUCAAGUGGCAGCUUUGAGAGCCAGUGCACAGUUUACCACAUUCUGUAAUUCCCUGCAGAAGUGGCCGUGUUGAGAUGAGGACUCUCUCCCCUGGGUUCCUGGGUUUUCAUGGUGCGCAGAGCCCCCCAGCAGAAUCUACUCCCACUCCCACUCCAUCAACCCAUGUUGGACAUGUAGCUUGAAGAAGAAAUAAGCUUCUCCAUGUUAGAUCAGUGAGAUUUGGGGGUUGUUUGUUACUACAAUAUAAUUGUAGCCCAACUGAUACAAUUACUUAGAGAAUGUCAUUAAAUGGUGGCCUGGGGACCAGAUCAGGCCCGUAGAAAUGUUUUGUUUGGCCAUGUUUUCUAAAAAGCUAGUUGCCAACCUUAAAUAUCUGGAAAGCACGCAUAAAAAUCUGGCAACACUAGGCUUGCCCUCCUUCUGUGUAGCUGCAGUUGCCUGGUGUGGCAGCCCCCAGCACUCUCCAAGGUCUGUCACCAGGAGGUCACUUAAACCAUCUGCUGUCCCCUGGAGGCCAAGACCUUCCCACAUCUGGAGGACAGGAAGAGUGUGUCUUGGGGUUUCCCUUCCUCUUUGCUGCUUCUGUGUGCCACGGAAGGGCAAGGACCAGGCUUGCUUUGGCUUCAUUUCCCAAGGGGGUGCUGCAGGAGGCGGUGAAGCACCUGAUCGUGGGCCUAAAUAGGGAGGGGCUGCAGAUCUGAGAUCUGGGUGUCUUGCACACUGUGUGCACCUCCAUGGUCCAUGGCAUGGCAGCGUCCACUGGAUGAGACAUACCUUGGAGGGACUCAGGUAGACCCAGUGGUAUGGUCACUUGCCAAUUUCGCAACUGUCACACUUGGUCAAGGCAAAGAAGAAGAGACAUUAUUGCCACUGGUAAGGGCAGGGUACUCCCAAUCUCCCUCCCUGUUUCUCUCCUUCCCCUCCCCCUGUUUGCCUUGCCUUUUCCCCAUGCACAUAAAAUGGCCAGCAGCCAUUCAUCUUUAAAGCAUAUCUUCUCCUAUGGCUGUUGGAUCCUUAGCAUCUUUUCCCCAUGACUCAACAUCUAUUUGUUGCUUUUCUCUUGCUCUCCUGCCUUCACCAAAAGGUUUUAUUGCCAUUCCCAAGAACCUCGGAUAGGACUGGAAGUAAGAGAGAAGCCAUAGAUGCUUACCAAAAUCUGGGGUAAAAUAACUCCCUAAGAUAGAGCCCGUCCACUCGUGGGAUAAGGAGAGAAGAUGUGAACGGAGCUGCUACUCACCCAGUGUGUGACUACUAACCUCUGUCCAGCCUUCGUUGUACUCCUUUCUCCGAAUGCUGUCAGCAUGAAGGUUUUUCAGCUCUCAGCAUCCUCCUCUGUUUUCAGGAUGUGGGACUAGCUUUGGGAAAAGUCAUAAAACCAGAAGAUUUUCUUCUUCUCCGAAGUCCGCAGCCUGGACCUCGUUCCUUUGCCUCUCUGUGGUGUUCCGUAGCCCUCCUUCCUUGCUCUUUCUUUCUCCCUACCUUGUGGGCAGCUUACUUUCAGUCUACUGCCUCAUUGCCAGCAAACUGUGUCCGUGUGUUACCUCUCCCAGGGCAGUCUGCCUUUUAAGUCCUCUUAGACGUUUCCACCUCCAUUAGAAGCUGUCCAUCACAGUGCAGGAUACAGACUUAUUUUUCAUGCCAGAACUCCUUCUGGGGAACUGGAAAUAAUGCCUGGUCAGUGGAAAGUGGUUUCACCUUUGGAGAACGGAUGCCUCCCUUUCUGGGAUGCGUGCUCACUUCUAUCUCCCUGGGACGCCCUUCCCCCAAGCACAGGUGCUCCUGAGCUGUUGGACUGGCCCAGGUUUGUGCCGAUUCUCUGCAUCUUCCCUUUGGCCCUGCCCUUCUGAGCCACUUGCAAAAUUCCUACUUUGAAAUUCCGGGGGGUGUCACCCUAAGAGUGACCGCCUGGAGGCGUGGUUAAGAGUGCAGGCUCCAGGACCGCAGUGCAGGCUUUAUCCUGACCCUGCCACUUACUAGUUGUAUGACCUUGGGCUAGUGACUUAAGUUCCUCUCUUUUUCAUUUCUGAAAUGGGGAUAAUAGCAGAACUGGCCUCAGCUGGGUGCUAUGUUCUAAAUGUGUUAAUACAUGGAAAACACUUCAAAGUGACCUGGCACGUUGAGAGAGUUCAAUAAAAGUGAGCUAUUUAUCUCAACUCAGAGAAUCUCAACCCAAAGGGGUUCUCUCACCCCGAGGGCCUCUGCAGCCUGCUCCUGGCUCCUCGCACCUGCUUCCUCAAGGGUCGCCUUCUCAGACGUCUUGCAGAGUGUUCCUCUGGCUGCGUCCUAGCAAACCUGAGAAGUCGCCUCUCCGACUGGCGUCCACUGGCAUCGCCCUGAGCUACAGUCUGUCUCCAUGGCUUCUCCUCUGGCCUUUUCAUCUGCCGACUGUGACCUCCUCAGGGCUGAGCAGCUCUGCCUCCCCAGUGUGAUGCACAUGGCUCCGGAGGUAACGGCUCGAGAUAGAGUUCCUUUUGGCUGAAUAAUGGCGGCUUUAGCUCUUUCCUAGGACAGUGGGGGCUUUUGAACUUUUUGCCUCCAGGACCCUAUUUGUUUGGGUGUUCUUCGUUUGGUCUCCCAUCUGAAUGACAACAGUGAGUGAGCUGUCAUUUGAGGUUGUCCACCACCUUGCGAGGCCAGUAAGCCACUUUUCAGUUUAGACAACCAGAAUUAAGCCUGCAUCAGCCUGCUGGGGGGCAGCUGCCAUCUCCAGGUUCUGAAGUGUGUGUUCUCUCCUCCCCCCAUCUCCAAGCCUUUCUAUGUCAUGCUGACGAUCAGCGAAGUCCUCAGCCAUGUGCGGGUUUGGGUUAUUUCUUAGCUUUCACUAAGCCACAUGUAGUCGUCCAGGAGCUGUCUGAGCAAUCCUGAGAGCCACCCCCGACACGCUGCUUGGGACUUGUUAGCUACGUAACUGAUGACCAGGUCUCAGGAUGAUGACGGCUUGGCAGCCCCACAAUCGCUCAGUUUAAUAUAACCGGUUUCUCAAGAAGCAAAUGCAUCUGCCGGCUUUGUCUUUAUAUGCCAGUGAUAUGGAGGCAAAAAUGGACUGAACUCUAGGCUUAAAAGAGCCCUCCAAGUCCUAAACGCCCCAUCCUGGGUCUCUUUGGCCAAAGGCUGAAACUUGAUUCCCAGAGGGCAGAAUUUGGCCUGCACAUUGCUUUUAUCAGAAAUUAAAUUUGAGCACUUUUCAGCAACUCAUGUAUUCUCUAGUUUGCCACAGUCUCUACCAUUCCCUUUUGUUUUACAUCUGGUCUACUUCAUUCGCUCAUGUGAAUCUGUGUGGUCCCUGAAGACAACUAGAAAACUUAGCGUUUUCUCUGUAAAUAUGGAAACUACUCAUAGGAACAUAGAACCACGGCGUUUAGAGCUGAAAGGAAGUUUAAUGACAUUUCAGUUGUAGUCCCACAUUUCCAAGUGGGGACUCUGAAGUCCAAGAGAAAUGACAAGAAACCAUCGCCGGCCCACAAGUCUUCGCUGCUUAUAGUCUCAAAAUGAGGUAAUGCCUCUGGACAUUUUUUGAGAAGAAUAAAAGCUUCAGAACUAUAAUAAUCAUAGUGGCAUGACUGAGGAAGUAUGACAGAUCCUGAACCCCAGAGCCUGUGUGUGAGCUGUCAUCCGCCACGGCCUUGGCUUUGCUCCUUGCCAAAUCUGAAGAGCUUCUCAUUCAUCUGGAAAAGCCCACUCAUGCCAAAGCACGAGUGAGCACUGUAUGUCUUACCGAAGAUCUUGGUAGACGGAAGAAAGGGUUUGUGUCCCCGUGUACCCAGUGUUUCUCUUAAGAAGUCCCCCAGGCGCAUCUUUUCCUCCCAGUCUCCUCCCUCUGCCCGCACCUGCCAGGUCUCUCUCCUGCCCCCUCAACUGACCACGAGCUUCUUAAACCCCUGACUCCAAACCCCCUCCGCUGAGCUUAUCUGUCCUCUUUUCUUAUGCUGAGCUACACGGCUCUCCCCCAGUUUCUAUCUCCUUCUGUCACUUAAUGCUAUUUUCAAGUGUGAGGAUAGAAAUUUUGUUUGUGUUCAGCAAACAAAAGAGUCUUCAGUUCCCAUGACCUACCUCCAUAAAUGGCAAUGGAGGAUUAUAAAUAACAGCAAUAAAAUAUCUUUGUUUCUUUAAACACAUGUGGUCCCUAAUCCUUGCGACAACCCUACAAUAAGAUAGGUAUUAUUCGGACCCCAUAGGAAAAAAGAGCAGAGAUCAGGGAGGUCAAGCCACUUGCCCUAGGUCACACAGCUUGUAAGUGGUGCAGACAGGAUUUACUCAGUCCUUCCCCAAACUCUUUCUUUUUCCCAUCUGGGGGCAUUGGAUGGCAGGUAGUAGGACUGAGUUAGUUGAUCUGCUGGCAUCAAUUCUAGGUGACUCUCCCUUUUAAUCCUUACUGGGAUCUAAUAGCUUAGAGAUGGCAGUUUUGGUUGAACACCCUCUUUUUAAAUAGAAUUCAUCUGCAGGAUGCUUUUCCAUACUUAGAAAGAAACUCCUGAUGAUGCUACCUCCCCAACUUUUCUUUCUCCCUCUCAUCUGAGUCUUAUUGUAAUUCAAGCCUAUACAUUGCAGUUGACAGUGGUCUCUUUUCUCUCCUUCUUUAAUUAGUCCUGUCAUUUUUAAUCCACUAGAAAGACGAGAGGGAGAUUGAAUGUCCCAACAACAGACAUGUUAUUCUGAAACUCCAAUUGUGACAAAUUCACAAACUCAUAAAAAAGAUUUUUUCUAUGCUGUCCUAUUAGGUCAGAGCAGAGAGAGAUGGGAGCCUGCCCUCUUUUGGGGGCUAAUUCAGAGCCAUUUUUGGUUAUUAUGCACAAGAUGUUUUUCAGCUGAGUUGUCAGGUUGUUAAAUGUCUUCGCCAUGGAGUGUUCUAGUAAUUCAAUCCCUCUGGAUUGCCCGGAGUGUCUUAAAUGUUUUGAUUGCAAAUACAGGAGGGAAACUGCUGUCCUGAACAUUCUCCCCUUAAAUCUUCUUAUGGAUUAAUUUGCUGUGUGGCCUGAAAUAGGUCAAAAGGUUUUGGCUCAGGAGUAGAAUUCUAGAAAUAAUCACCCUAUAGACACCCUAAAUCAAUCAUAAUUAAUGCACUUGCCUAGUCCCGUCAGCUGAUUGCUGCUAGAGGGUGAAAUAAAGAGACCCUUUCUAAUACAAUUUGAAAAGAGAUCAAAUCUGUCAUUUCAUCUAAUAAUUGAGCCAAAUGAGAAAAGAGAGGGGCCAAAGUUCAUUGGGUGACCUUAUGUAAACCCAAUAAUGCAUAAUUCAUUUCCUUUUU